CAUGCACACAAAUAAUCAUUUUAUAUUUAUUUUAUAUUAUAAUAUAAAUUUAUAUAUAUUAUAUUUAUAUAGUUAUAUUCUCCAUCCAAUCCUAUCUCCCAUCCAAUAGAUUCCUCGUCAUCCUUCAAGAGACAUCAAUCCCAUACUGACUUCUCUAACCUGCCUCUGAGGAGGAGAAUUUGGUAACUCCCUCCACUGCGUUACCACUGCAAUAUAACAAUGUAUUGGCAUCUCUAACUCGAGACUGAGAGCUCAAUUGAAGAAAUUUUAAAUUAAAAAUUUUUUAAUUAAAAAAAUUUCCAGCCCACUGUGAUUGAUUCCCAGAAAAGUCUUUGUAAAUGUUCGCUAAGUAAAUGAAUGUGGGAAUGUAUACCACUUCACCUGUUGACCACAGUAUCCUACACACCAAGGCCCCAUCCAAUGCGGAGUUUGGAAACAAAUGGAUGGAUUUCACCCAGGAACUCAGUCUAAGGAAAUUUGCAAAUACGUGCCAGUCAGGAAGAUCAAGGAAAAGCCAGAUUUUUAUAACAUUUGAGUGCAUUUGUAUAAUAGAAUAUUAUGCAGCAAUUUAAAAUAAUGGCACAGAUCUGUAUUUACUGACAUGGAAAGAUGACCUGAACAUAUUACUGGGUGAAGACAGGUUACAAGGUAACGUGCAUAGUUUUAUCCCAUUUUUGGAAAUAAUAUACAUACUAGUUGUAAAUAGGGAUAUAGACUGAUUAUAUUAAUAAACAUUUAUUAACUGUUUAUUGUCA
rnacentral:lncRNA from 1 species